rnacentral:rRNA from 1 species
UACGGGGGGGGCAAGCGUUGUUCGGAAUUACUGGGCGUAAAGGGCGCGUAGGCGGUGCUCUAAGUUAGAUGUGAAAACUCUGGGCUCAACCCAGAGCCUGCAUCUAAAACUGGAGUGCUAGAGUUCUGGAGGGGGUAGCGGAAUUCCUGGUGUAGCGGUGAAAUGCGUAGAUGUCAGGAGGAACACCGGUGGCGAAGGCGGCUACCUGGACAGAAACUGACGCUGAGGCGCGAAAGCUAGGGGAGCAAACAGG